rnacentral:rRNA from 1 species
AUACGGAGGGUGCAAGCGUUAUCCGGAAUCACUGGGUUUAAAGGGUACGUAGGCGGAUUGAUAAGUCAGAGGUGAAAUCUUGCAGCUUAACUGUAAAAUUGCCUUUGAUACUGUCAGUCUUGAAUUAGGCUGAGGUAUGCGGAAUGUGACAUGUAGCGGUGAAAUGCAUAGAUACGUCAUAGAACACCAAUUGCGAAGGCAGCAUACUAGACCUAUAUUGACGCUGAGGUACGAAAGCGUGGGGAGCGAACAGGAUUAGAUACCCUAGUAGUCC